CUUAACUUAUCACUUUAUUAUUAGAUAUAACCCAUAUACUUGCGAAAUACAUCAGGAAUUCAAGAGCUCACAAUUCUAGAGAGGAUUACAAUAUUAUUGAAAUAAAGUUCAUUAGUACUCAUAUAACAUUAAUGAUGCUUCACUAGGCCUUUGUUAUUUCAAAUCAAACUUAAACAUGGCAAUUUCAGUUUGCGACAACAUAUCAGAAUCAUCGGUGAGGCCAUGUCUCUCUCCAAUAGCUCUUAAUGCUCGAUACACCUGAAGCAUUGUUGGCCUUCGAUCUGGAAAAUCUUGAACACAGUCACAUGCAAUUCUCAGGACCUGAAAGAUCUCCCCAUCGUUUCCUUGCCCAACAAUACAUUUCUCAAUAGCAUCAUAGAACCCAGAAGAACUUGUCGAGAGAUCAGUGGUCAAUUCUUUUGGAGUCUUAUUAAAUAUGCUGAAAGAUUUUAUGAUCCUGCAAGGAUCUUUCCCUGUGAUUAGCUCAAGAAGAAUCAUCCCAAAGCUGUGAACAUCCUUCUUAACAAAGCCAAUAUCCCAGAAUUCUCUAUUCACAAUGAAGUCCCUUGUUGAUUGAGUUUCAUUUGGAUUGAUGAACAGUGCUCGACCAAAAUUCGAUAAUUUGGGCUCAAAUUUCUGAUCAAGUAAGAUGCAUUUAGAGUUUAUGUUAAGAUGGACUGCCUGAACACUGGGGUUGUAAUGAAUCCAAGCCAAUCCUCUUGCAAGCCCAAUUGCCACUUUAACCCUUAAAGUCCAAUCAAUAGCAUUGGCAUGGUGUAGCCAAUCAAAGAGGGUUCCAUUUGAAAUGUAUUUGUACACCAGAAGCAUUUCCUUCUUGUCUUUGCAGAAACCUAGUAGGGGCACUAAGUUACUGUGUCUCAACCUACCCAGAGUCAUGACCUCAGUGACAAAUUCUUUCUUGAAAUGUUGGGAGUUAUGCAGCCUCUUAAUAGCAAGAAACCAACCAUUUGGAAGUGUUGCCUUGUACAUUGUUCCCAUAUUUCCUAAACCGAUGACAUUCUCUUUGCUGAAGUUUGAAGUUACCUCACAAAUUUCUUUGAAACUCAUUCUGGUAACCAGCCUUUCCAGUGUAGACAUCUUUAUAUCCAUCCUUCUUCCAUCAAUUGGUUGUCUUCCCUUUUUGAUUUUCUUCUCCAUCGAUUUCUUCUUGGACCUUUUGGACAUAGAAAACCAAAAAUAAAGAUACAAAACCAAAGCUAUAGCAACCAUAUAACCAACGACAAACCCUGUGAUGAAGGAAAAAGAGAACUCAUUUGGAGGAGAGCGAAGGCAAGGAUCCAAUGGUCGUCCACAGAGUCCUGAAUUAUUUGCAAAACUAUCAGCCUCAACAGUGAAUAUAAAGUUAGGUACCGGCCCAGACAAGAGAUUGUUAGCGACACUAAAGCUCUUGAUUCGAUAAAGCAAGCUAAUUUCUGCUGGGAUUUGCCCUGUUAGCUGGUUGUUGUCGAGUCUGAGGACAUUAAGAUAAGAACAGUUUGCAAAACCAGAAGGGAUUUCACCAGAGAUACUGUUGUUGGAGAGAUCAAGUACAGAUAUAUAUGGGAUUUUGUUGCAUAUAUCAGAUGGGAUUGUGCCUGAGAGUUGAUUGCCUGAAAGAUUUAAACCUGUUAUGCUGGUACAGUUCUCUAUGCCCCUAGGAAAGUUGCCUCUGAGCCCCAAGUUCACCAAAUGGAGAUUUAAGACUCUAUUCUCAUCCUCGUGCCAGCAAUCAACUCCUUUAAAAUAACAGAGGAAAUCUCCAGUAUUGUUGUUCAAGUUCCAUGAAUACUUCCAGCUAUUUCGAGGAUCUUCAAAAGAAUCUUUAAUAGACUUCAGGCAAGCAAUAUCUGUCUCAGUACUAAAAGCAGCAGUAACCAGCAAUGACCAGAGAGCUAAGUGGAUAAAGAGACUCAUAUUAAUUUCUUCUAUGAAGAGCUCAG
rnacentral:misc_RNA from 1 species